UCGAGCGGACAGAUGGGAGCUUGCUCCCUGAUGUUAGCGGCGGACGGGUGAGUAACACGUGGGUAACCUGCCUGUAAGACUGGGAUAACUCCGGGAAACCGGGGCUAAUACCGGAUGCUUGAUUGAACCGCAUGGUUCAAUUAUAAAAGGUGGCUUUUAGCUACCACUUACAGAUGGACCCGCGGCGCAUUAGCUAGUUGGUGAGGUAACGGCUCACCAAGGCAACGAUGCGUAGCCGACCUGAGAGGGUGAUCGGCCACACUGGGACUGAGACACGGCCCAGACUCCUACGGGAGGCAGCAGUAGGGAAUCUUCCGCAAUGGACGAAAGUCUGACGGAGCAACGCCGCGUGAGUGGUGAAGGUUUUCGGAUCGUAAAACUCUGUUGUUAGGGAAGAACAAGUACCGUUCGAAUAGGGCGGUACCUUGACGGUACCUAACCAGAAAGCCACGGCCAACUACGUGCCAGCAGCCGCGGUAAUACGUAGGUGGCAAGCGUUGUCCGGAAUUAUUGGGCGUAAAGCGCGCGCAGGCGGUUUCUUAAGUCUGAUGUGAAAGCCCCCGGCUCAACCGGGGAGGGUCAUUGGAAACUGGGGAACUUGAGUGCAGAAGAGGAGAGUGGAAUUCCACGUGUAGCGGUGAAAUGCGUAGAGAUGUGGAGGAACACCAGUGGCGAAGGCGACUCUCUGGUCUGUAACUGACGCUGAGGCGCGAAAGCAUGGGGAGCGAACGGGACUAGAUACCCUGGUAGUCCACGCCGUAAACGAUGAGUGCUAAGUGUUAGAGGGUUUCCGCCCUUU
rnacentral:rRNA from 1 species